AGAGUUUGAUCCUGGCUCAGAAUCAACGCUGGCGGCGUGCCUCAGACAUGCAAGUCGAACGAUUAAAGCUCUCUUCGGAGAGUGUAUAGAGUGGCGCACGAGUGAGUAACACGUAAGUAAUCUACCUUCGAGUGGGGAAUAACAGUCGGAAACGACUGCUAAUACCGCAUAAUGCAGCGGCAUCGCAAGAUGACAGUUGUUAAAGGAGCAAUCCGCUUGAAGAGGAGCUUGCGGCAGAUUAGCUAGUUGGUAAGGUAAUGGCUUACCAAGGCUACGAUCUGUAUCCGGUCUAAGAGGACAGUCGGACACACUGACACUGAAUAACGGGUCAGACUCCUACGGGAGGCAGCAGUCGGGAAUUUUGGGCAAUGGGCGAAAGCCUGACCCAGCAACGCCGCGUGAAGGAUGAAGUAUUUCGGUAUGUAAACUUCGAAAGAAUAGGAAGAAUAAAUGACGGUACUAUUUAUAAGCUCCGGCUAACUACGUGCCAGCAGCCGCGGUAAUACGUAGGGAGCAAGCGUUGUUCGGAUUUACUGGGCGUAAAGGGCGCGUAGGCGGCGCGACAAGUCACUUGUGAAAUCUCCGGGCUUAACUCGGAACGGCCAAGUGAAACUGUCGUGCUAGAGUGCAGAAGGGGCAAUCGGAAUUCUUGGUGUAGCGGUGAAAUGCGUAGAUAUCAAGAGGAACACCUGAGGUGAAGACGGGUUGCUGGGCUGACACUGACGCUGAGGCGCGAAAGCCAGGGGAGCAAACGGGAUUAGAUACCCCGGUAGUCCUGGCCCUAAACGAUGAAUACUUGGUGUCUGGAAUUAUUAUUGUUCCGGGUGCCGUCGCUAACGUUUUAAGUAUUCCCGCCUGGGGAGUACGCACGCAAGUGUGAAACUCAAAGGAAUUGACGG
rnacentral:rRNA from 1 species